UAAGCGACUAAGCGUACACGGUGGAUGCCCUGGCAGUCAGAGGCGAUGAAGGACGUGCUAAUCUGCGAUAAGCGUCGGUAAGGUGAUAUGAACCGUUAUAACCGGCGAUUUCCGAAUGGGGAAACCCAGUGUGUUUCGACACACUAUCAUUAACUGAAUCCAUAGGUUAAUGAGGCGAACCGGGGGAACUGAAACAUCUAAGUACCCCGAGGAAAAGAAAUCAACCGAGAUUCCCCCAGUAGCGGCGAGCGAACGGGGAGCAGCCCAGAGCCUGAAUCAGUGUGUGUGUUAGUGGAAGCGUCUGGAAAGGCGUGCGAUACAGGGUGACAGCCCCGUACACAAAAAUGCACAUGCUGUGAGCUCGAUGAGUAGGGCGGGACACGUGGUAUCCUGUCUGAAUAUGGGGGGACCAUCCUCCAAGGCUAAAUACUCCUGACUGACCGAUAGUGAACCAGUACCGUGAGGGAAAGGCGAAAAGAACCCCGGCGAGGGGAGUGAAAAAGAACCUGAAACCGUGUACGUACAAGCAGUGGGAGCACGCUUAGGCGUGUGACUGCGUACCUUUUGUAUAAUGGGUCAGCGACUUAUAUUCUGUAGCAAGGUUAACCGAAUAGGGGAGCCGAAGGGAAACCGAGUCUUAACUGGGCGUUAAGUUGCAGGGUAUAGACCCGAAACCCGGUGAUCUAGCCAUGGGCAGGUUGAAGGUUGGGUAACACUAACUGGAGGACCGAACCGACUAAUGUUGAAAAAUUAGCGGAUGACUUGUGGCUGGGGGUGAAAGGCCAAUCAAACCGGGAGAUAGCUGGUUCUCCCCGAAAGCUAUUUAGGUAGCGCCUCGUGAAUUCAUCUCCGGGGGUAGAGCACUGUUUCGGCAAGGGGGUCAUCCCGACUUACCAACCCGAUGCAAACUGCGAAUACCGGAGAAUGUUAUCACGGGAGACACACGGCGGGUGCUAACGUCCGUCGUGAAGAGGGAAACAACCCAGACCGCCAGCUAAGGUCCCAAAGUCAUGGUUAAGUGGGAAACGAUGUGGGAAGGCCCAGACAGCCAGGAUGUUGGCUUAGAAGCAGCCAUCAUUUAAAGAAAGCGUAAUAGCUCACUGGUCGAGUCGGCCUGCGCGGAAGAUGUAACGGGGCUAAACCAUGCACCGAAGCUGCGGCAGCGACACUAUGUGUUGUUGGGUAGGGGAGCGUUCUGUAAGCCUGUGAAGGUGUACUGUGAGGUAUGCUGGAGGUAUCAGAAGUGCGAAUGCUGACAUAAGUAACGAUAAAGCGGGUGAAAAGCCCGCUCGCCGGAAGACCAAGGGUUCCUGUCCAACGUUAAUCGGGGCAGGGUGAGUCGACCCCUAAGGCGAGGCCGAAAGGCGUAGUCGAUGGGAAACAGGUUAAUAUUCCUGUACUUGGUGUUACUGCGAAGGGGGGACGGAGAAGGCUAUGUUGGCCGGGCGACGGUUGUCCCGGUUUAAGCGUGUAGGCUGGUUUUCCAGGCAAAUCCGGAAAAUCAAGGCUGAGGCGUGAUGACGAGGCACUACGGUGCUGAAGCAACAAAUGCCCUGCUUCCAGGAAAAGCCUCUAAGCAUCAGGUAACAUCAAAUCGUACCCCAAACCGACACAGGUGGUCAGGUAGAGAAUACCAAGGCGCUUGAGAGAACUCGGGUGAAGGAACUAGGCAAAAUGGUGCCGUAACUUCGGGAGAAGGCACGCUGAUAUGUAGGUGAAGUCCCUCGCGGAUGGAGCUGAAAUCAGUCGAAGAUACCAGCUGGCUGCAACUGUUUAUUAAAAACACAGCACUGUGCAAACACGAAAGUGGACGUAUACGGUGUGACGCCUGCCCGGUGCCGGAAGGUUAAUUGAUGGGGUCAGCGCAAGCGAAGCUCUUGAUCGAAGCCCCGGUAAACGGCGGCCGUAACUAUAACGGUCCUAAGGUAGCGAAAUUCCUUGUCGGGUAAGUUCCGACCUGCACGAAUGGCGUAAUGAUGGCCAGGCUGUCUCCACCCGAGACUCAGUGAAAUUGAACUCGCUGUGAAGAUGCAGUGUACCCGCGGCAAGACGGAAAGACCCCGUGAACCUUUACUAUAGCUUGACACUGAACAUUGAGCCUUGAUGUGUAGGAUAGGUGGGAGGCUUUGAAGUGUGGACGCCAGUCUGCAUGGAGCCGACCUUGAAAUACCACCCUUUAAUGUUUGAUGUUCUAACGUUGACCCGUGAUCCGGGUUGCGGACAGUGUCUGGUGGGUAGUUUGACUGGGGCGGUCUCCUCCUAAAGAGUAACGGAGGAGCACGAAGGUUGGCUAAUCCUGGUCGGACAUCAGGAGGUUAGUGCAAUGGCAUAAGCCAGCUUGACUGCGAGCGUGACGGCGCGAGCAGGUGCGAAAGCAGGUCAUAGUGAUCCGGUGGUUCUGAAUGGAAGGGCCAUCGCUCAACGGAUAAAAGGUACUCCGGGGAUAACAGGCUGAUACCGCCCAAGAGUUCAUAUCGACGGCGGUGUUUGGCACCUCGAUGUCGGCUCAUCACAUCCUGGGGCUGAAGUAGGUCCCAAGGGUAUGGCUGUUCGCCAUUUAAAGUGGUACGCGAGCUGGGUUUAGAACGUCGUGAGACAGUUCGGUCCCUAUCUGCCGUGGGCGCUGGAGAACUGAGGGGGGCUGCUCCUAGUACGAGAGGACCGGAGUGGACGCAUCACUGGUGUUCGGGUUGUCAUGCCAAUGGCACUGCCCGGUAGCUAAAUGCGGAAGAGAUAAGUGCUGAAAGCAUCUAAGCACGAAACUUGCCCCGAGAUGAGUUCUCCCUGACUCCUUGAGAGUCCUGAAGGAACGUUGAAGACGACGACGUUGAUAGGCCGGGUGUGUAAGCGCAGCGAUGCGUUGAGCUAACCGGUACUAAUGAACCGUGAGGCUUAACCU
rnacentral:rRNA from 1 species